CCUACGGGUGGCUGCAGUGGGGAAUAUUGCACAAUGGGGGAAACCCUGAUGCAGCGACGCCGCGUGAGUGAAGAAGUAUUUCGGUAUGUAAAGCUCUAUCAGCAGGGAAGAAGAAAGACGGUACCUGACUAAGAAGCCACGGCUAACUACGUGCCAGCAGCCGCGGUAAUACGUAGGGGGCAAGCGUUAUCCGGAUUUACUGGGUGUAAAGGGAGCGUAGACGGCUGUGCAAGUCUGAAGUGAAAGCCCAGGGCUCAACCCUGGGACUGCUUUGGAAACUGUGGAGCUAGAGUGCUGGAGAGGUAAGUGGAAUUCCUAGUGUAGCGGCGAAAUGCGUAGAUAUUAGGAGGAACACCAGUGGCGAAGGCGACUAUCUGGCACAUAACUGACGCUGAGGAGCGAAAGCGUGGGUAGCAAACAGGAUUAGAUACCCUAGUAGUC
rnacentral:rRNA from 1 species